AUUGUUUUUAAAAAUAUUACUCAUCCGCCUAGUGGCCCCGUUCAUCCCACUGUUCAGUGCUAGAAGAGUCGUCUCCCAUUUGGGAGAGGAGGGUGUUGUGCGAUUGCAAGGAGAUUUGCCAGGGUGGCGAGUGGCGAGAGGCGGUGCCACCGAUGACGACACAAAAAGCAGAAGCGGCAGCGGCAGCAACAACGUCGACUGCGACGACAACGACAACGGCAACGGCAAGUUGCAAUCCAAUCGUUCGAGGGCCUCUGGCUCGCUUUUUGGCAGGCCGCACGGCCAGUCGUCAGUCAGUUGGCCAAGAAACUGGUAGCGUCUGGUGUGGCGAGCCAACAAAAGGCUGGCAGCGUGGCCAACACCGGACUUGGACCCGGAUCCGGCAAUCGCUAUCCGGGUCCAUGUCCACGUCCACGCUGCGGCUGCCAAUUGAGCGGAGUUGAGUUUGAGUUUGUGCUUGAAUUUGACGCGUAGCCAGCCAAGAAAAGUGGCCAGCCAACAACAAGGUGACGCAGGAUGUGGCCAAAAGCACCAGAAGGGAAGAUGCAGACCUACAGCGGAUGGAGGUGGAGGUGGAGGAGUGCACUUUUUGGCCACGGUCCGCAUUUGAUUAGCCAACUCAAACACAUCAGGGCCAAGAUCAGGGCAGCAAAAAAAACAAACAACCGCAACCUGAUGGCCCAUUGACAGCUCCCUGUCUCUCUCCGGCACACACCCACACCCGGACACCACUAACACACACACACACACAUUCGUCGUAUGUAGCAUGGAUGUGCCACAGUGAAGCCCGGGCAGUAGUGAACACCUGACGCUGUCCAAACUGAUACUCGCGUCCGUCUCAAUUAUACAGCAAAUAAGAAGUAAAACAAACAAUUAAAUAAAAAACGAGUAUUGCUUCGCAGCUGACAACAACAGCAACAACAACCAGUUGCUCUGCGGUGUAAAAGUGUGUGUAUUCGCGCGCAUGUAUGUGUGUGUGUGUGAGUGUGUGACGGCGUGGAAACUGACCAUCGUUUGGUGCCAAAACAAAAAAGGAGAGAGAUCCUGUCCAAAAAGUAACCCUGGCUCGGACCCAAAACAACGGAAACAACAACAGCCAUGAUUUGGCAAGUCGAUUGUUUCAUCUGGCCAGGCUUAAUGAAAGGACUCGUACUUGUCCUGACCAUCAGCACGUCAAGCGAGGCAAACGCCAGCGAAGCCUCAAAGGAUAAGCAUCUCCAGCACCAUCGGAGGGUGACUCCAGAAAAUAUUUCCCAAAAUAUUCCAACUGGAGAAACCAUUCAAAAUACUUGGAAUUUUGGAGUACCACCAUCAACUCCAAAAACUGCAAUUUCGAAGAAAAAAAAUACAAAAAAAUUUAAAAAAAAAAAAUAUUCGAAAGCAAUUUUCCAUCAAAAGGAGCCUUAACAACUACAGCCCCAAUUAUAUAAAUAAACCCAAAUAUUCAGUAAUAUACUUAGUUCCACAACUAUAAACAAUAAUCGCCUAUGAUAUAACCAUAAAAUAUCCAAAGAAACAAUAACUCCACAGAUACUAUAUAGCCCUUUGAAAUAUGACUCAAUAAUAGUUGCAUAAGCCGUAGAAAUAUGGUACAAAAUAAUACGUGAAUAACUCAAAGUCAAAAGGGUUAUAGCGCAAAACAAUUAUAUUUUAUUAAUGAACACUUCAAAGCAAUAUAAAUAUAAUACUGUAAAAUAAUAAACCGGCUCAUGGUGAUUUGUGGCAAGGUCAAAGUGGAAGAUGCUAAACCAUUAUCAGGAAAAAAAGUGGAGCCGUGGAGAGCAUCUGAACGAGGAAAAGUGCCGGAAAAUGCAACUAAUGGCCUAAAGGAAGCCUCGUUGGCCAAUUGAGGAGGAGAACCUGAAAAGUCGAGCCGAAUUGCCGUUGCAACCGCCGAAGGCCUUACCAACCAAUGGCGACGCACAGCGGCAACGAAGCCCGGCCAGAUGGAAGGGGUAUUACCGGGAAACGGAUUUGAGCAAAGCGCCCAAGCAAGCUUUGCAGCUAGGAAUGCAAUUCUUGGCAACGUGACAAGCAGCCCCGCAAGGAGUCCACUCACACACACAAUCCAGCAAACGAAGUUUUCCGCUUGGCUCACACGUCGUAUGAGUAAUAUAUCCCGUAUACGCCUGUUGGCCGGGCAGAAAAUUUUCAACAACAGUUUGUGUGUGUUUGUGGGCCGAAGGGUUGCCGAAAGGAGUGUUGCCAACUGCAUUCUCGGCUGCCGGCUAUAUAGUUUGCGCAACUCCUGACCCGAAGAUGCCACCGUUCCUCCGUCAACGACGAGUCCUUUGCAGGCAGCGCAUUGGCUGCAGGACGACCGGCGACAGAACGACCAAUCACCAAUCGCAAGUGGGCUUGUGCGCACUAUCCCGGCCGCAUGGCACUGUGUCCAGGACCUUGGCCACAUACCUUGAGCUUGUUGUCAACUUUUAAAUAUUUACAAAUGCAGUCUCCAUAAUUAGUAGUAGUCGUAAAUAGCCGUAAUUCACUUGACCAAUGCCUAUAGUCCCCGGAACAACAUCUACACGGGGUUCUGUCACGUUAUUUUAUCUAAAGUACACUUAGUUUCAAGCGGAAACUAUAUAAGGAUGAUUUCAGAAAUGCAUAAGAGAAAAA